rnacentral:sRNA from 1 species
CAGCAAUGGGAUAGAAGCAUCAUAGAUGUGCUUCGGCCUUUUGAGCAGGGCAUGUUGAACCAUUUUCCAACAUGACAUGACAUGGCCUCGUGGAAAAAGUUCGAUUUCAUGCAUUCAAUACAACUUCUUGCAUUGUUCGAAAUAAUGGGGGUGGGGGUGUGUUUGCCCUACACAUGGAUGGAUAUCGAAAACAAAUCCUGAUUGCAACUCAAUGUACGGAGUACUGUACAGAUUGUACUGUACACAUAUGGAAAGCUAGCCGUCACAUUUACCUCAAACCACAAUUGAUGAUAUAUGUGAUGCGGCCAAUGUGGAGGAGUCUAGCCAAAAAAACGUUCCACCCGGCUCCCAGGAAACAUUUCCUAUUAGUUUGCU